rnacentral:rRNA from 1 species
UACAGAGGUCUCAAGCGUUGUUCGGAUUCAUUGGGCGUAAAGGGUGCGUAGGUGGCGAGGUAAGUUGGAUGUGAAAUCCCGGGGCUCAACCCCGGAACUGCAUUCAAUACUGCCUUGCUGGAGUACUGGAGAGGAGAUUGGAAUUUACGGUGUAGCAGUGAAAUGCGUAGAUAUCGUAAGGAGACCAGUGGCGAAGGCGGAUCUCUGGACAGUACUGACACUGAGGCACGAAGGCCAGGG